UAAUUAUAGAAUAACUAAUCGAAGAAUUCAAAUAGAGAAAAAUAUUCAACACGUGACCGAACAACACAUUAAUUCACGAAUGCGCGUAGCGCAUGAGUUAAUUAUCAGUGUUGUUCGGUCACGAGUUGAAUAUUUUUCGAUAUUUGAAUUCUUUAAUUAGUUAUUCUUUUUAUUACAUUGGCAAAUGGCUUUUUUGUAAGAAGUUAAUGUAUAACAUGUAAGGAACUAUAUCUUUUUUCUACGCAUUCACAAUUUGUUUUGAUCCACUGUUAUCGAUGUCUUGACAACGCCUAUUGUUGUAUGACGUCAGAGAGUGAAAUAACCACGUUUAUUUCACAUGUGAAAUUAUCGGUUUUUAUCUAACUGGGAAAUCAAUGUAAUUCAUUGCAACCAAUGUAAUAAUUU
rnacentral:lncRNA from 1 species